ensembl:lncRNA UBE2R2-AS1 UBE2R2 antisense RNA 1
UCCCAUGGUUAUCUGUGAUUUUCAUGCCCUGUUUCUGCUGGCAACCCUUCUGAGUGGGGUGACUCACUUUCCUGUAUAAAGAGUUUGAGUAGCCCAGGUAGGAGGUGGAAGCAGCCAUCUGGAAGGCCAUUGGGAUCCUUAUGUCUGUCUCUUGGCUUCAGAUAACCAGCUGGGCUUUGAUAGGAAUGAUCUGAAUGGAGACAGAAAACAGUGAAAACUAACGCUCCCCGCCCAGCCCUGUUUAUAUGAAGCAUUUGGUUCCUCUCUUGACUCUUGAGUGAUGAUGAGAUUCAGACGAGGCAUUGACAUUAUGGUAAGAAAGGGAGAAAAUGUAUCUGUCUUGUCUGUCUAUCUAUCUACUGGAUAUAUAGCUCCAAAAGCAGACAAACCCAAGGCCGUAAGGUGAACUAGGGUCUGCGUUUGGACUCCAUGAAAACAAAAUCCAUGUUGAACAAAGUGAUGUUUGUAUGCAGUGACAUUCUGGGUGACCCGUGUGUAUCUGUCCAUCGUGUGCAAGCCCUGAGCCCUGUUUCCCUCGGAAGAUAGUGAGUGGUAGCCAUCUCCUCACACGAACCACACAUGUGGAGCACAGAUGGCCCUCUCAAGGUAAUUGAUCUUACACAUUUACUGUUCACCAAACAAGUGUCUGAUGCAUACUUGGGUAUAUUCCACAGCAUGUGGACUGCGGUCCCCUGUGUUUGCCAGGAAUGCUGUGCUCCAUGUAGAGGUUUUCCUCUACUCCUCACUGCAAUUUGCAUGCUGCUCCAUGGACACUUGGAGGCCUGUGCUCUGUUCCCUGUAACUGGAAAUGUGCUCUGAACUUGUCUGUCUCCCUUGGCUGCUCCUGGCCCUUGGUACCAGCUCCCAUGGGUGUCCACAACCACUUGGGACAGAAGGUAAAGGUGGAAUUUCAAAGAGAAGCUUGCUUGGAUCUUCAGUGACAAGCUUGGAUGAGCUACAUCCCUAACAUGGGCCCUCUCAGAAUUGCCAGGAGGAGGCUUUGGCAGGUGUCACAGGUGUCACGGGGCCUGCCCUCCUCUGCUGCGUGCAGUGGAUGCAAGCCAGCCAACGUGUGGCCAGAGUGGCUGGAUGGUGUCACAGCCCUCAGAUGUCUUUCCUUCCACGUUUUUAAAAGAGUCCCAAAUAACUCACUUGAAGUGUCUCAAAGGUCAGAGUGGGGAGCUGGUGUUAGCUGUGGGAUUCACUGCAGCGUCCUACCACAAAGGCAAAGAAGAUGAAAAUGCAGCGUGCAGUGCUGGGCUUGAUUCCCAAGUCGCAGUCGGGCUCCCGCUAUGGGUAGGAGGCUUUACACUCAGCCUGGGUCAGCACCGGAGCAUCCAGGCACUUCAGCUCGUCUGGGUAGUCAGCUGUGAGGAUCAGGAAGAGAUCAAAGAAAGUAGAAAUGUGGGUGAGGCCAGAGAAGGAGACAAUAAUCUGGGAUGGAACAUUGAAGAGGAACACUGCCUCUGGAGAGGACUCCAAAACGAGGCCAUGACAGAGGCACCUGAAGAAGACCUCUACAUAGGCCUCAGAUAAAGAGACCUAAGAAUGGAGGAUCCUGAGCUGGCAAUAUAAAUAUGCACAAGGGCGUGACCAGCCAGGGGGUCCUUGACUGCAACUCCCUUCAAAGACUGCAAUGCAUUGGCUGUGAACCAAGUCUGGGGUGGGCAGAACAGCCUCUCCACACCCUGUAAGCCUGCCAGGUGUUCCAGGCUGCAGGGGACUCCUGAGGCAGAGGCUGCAACAAUCCAUGGACAUGAUUUAUACUUCUAUAUUUUAAAACUGUCUUUCAUUUCCUUUAGCAACUAUUUUUAUUUUUCUGUAUACAAGUCUUGCAUGCCUUUUGCUAAAUUUAAAUAUUUUGUUUUUAAUAUAAAUUUAGGUUUUAAAAUUGAAUUAUCCAAUUGUUUACCAUUAGUAUACAAAAUAUAAUUUUUAUAUGUUGUAAUAAUAAAUUAAGGUAUGCACUUAUUAAUUUGAGUAGUUAAUGUAUAGUUUUUUAAAUAUUUGGAUGUAAGUAGUCCUUUCAUCUCUGAAAAAGGUUUUCCUUAUCCUUUGAUCUUCAGCUUUUUAGUAUUUUUCUUGUCUUUAUGCAUCAGUACAAUAUGGAAUAGAAGUGGUUAAGAGUGAACAUUAUUGACUUCUUUAUGAUCUUGAACAUGUUUAGUAUUUAAGAAAUAAAAAUGGGAAGACGUUUAAUAUUUCUCUCAUUAAGUG